CGUACACUCCUGCGGGAGGCAGCAGUGGGGAAUUUUGGACAAUGGGCGAAAGCCUGAUCCAGCCAUGCCGCGUGCAGGAUGAAGGCCUUCGGGUUGUAAACUGCUUUUGUACGGAACGAAACGGCCUUUUCUAAUAAAGAGGGCUAAUGACGGUACCGUAAGAAUAAGCACCGGCUAACUACGUGCCAGCAGCCGCGGUAAUACGUAGGGUGCAAGCGUUAAUCGGAAUUACUGGGCGUAAAGCGUGCGCAGGCGGUUAUGUAAGACAGUUGUGAAAUCCCCGGGCUCAACCUGGGAACUGCAUCUGUGACUGCAUAGCUAGAGUACGGUAGAGGGGGAUGGAAUUCCGCGUGUAGCAGUGAAAUGCGUAGAUAUGCGGAGGAACACCGAUGGCGAAGGCAAUCCCCUGGACCUGUACUGACGCUCAUGCACGAAAGCGUGGGGAGCAAACAGGAUUAGAAACCCUAGUAGUCCCAUG
rnacentral:rRNA from 1 species